GAAUCUUGCGCAAUGGGCGAAAGCCUGACGCAGCAACGCCGCGUGGGGGAUGAAGGCUCUCGGGUUGUAAACCCCUUUCAGCAGGGACGAUUGUGACGGUACCUGCAGAAGAAGGACCGGCCAACUACGUGCCAGAAGCCGCGGUAAUACGUAGGGUCCGAGCGUUGUCCGGAUUCAUUGGGCGUAAAGAGCUCGUAGGCGGCUCAGUAAGUCGGAUGUGAAAACUCAGGGCUCAACCCGGAGACGCCAUCCGAUACUGCUGUGGCUGGAGUCUGGUAGGGGAACACGGAAUACCUGGUGUAGCGGUGAAAUGCGCAGAUAUCAGGUGGAACACCGAUGGCGAAGGCAGUGUUCUGGGCCAGUACUGACGCUGAGGAGCGAAAGCGUGGGGAGCAAACAGG
rnacentral:rRNA from 1 species